AUGGCGGUGGCGUGGGAGCACGCUUGGCGCGCGUUGGCUGCAAGGCUCUGCAUCCCCUCACGGGCGCAAUGUGCGGGUGGCACUACGGGGGCACUGCUGGAGGACGACGAGUCGCCGGAUGCUCUGUCCCCUGUGCCGGUGUGCAAACAGGCGGUGUCGAGGUCCGGGAGUCGGAGCUCAACGGAGCUAUGCGCGAUUUGCCUGGGUGGCAUGAGGCCGGGGCACGGCCAUGCGUUGUUCACCGCGGAAUGCUCCCACAAGUUCCAUUUUCGAUGUAUCUCAUCCAACGUGCAGCAUGGCAACCGUGCCUGUCCCAUAUGCCGUGCCGUCUGGAAGCAUCUACCUCUCCCAGCCAAAGCGGAUGCUACUCCACUGGAUUGGCCCGAUGAUCAGCUUCCCGUCUCCUGUGCGCCGGAUUUGAGCGUUUUCGAAUCUAAGACUACGAGUGGAAAACGAGAGGAGGACGCAGUUGGGGCUUCUGGUGUUGAGGUCGUGUCGUUCGCUGAAUUCCCAUACAUUCAGCGGAGCGUGACAUCGGAGAAGUUUGACAUCCUGAUCCACCUGAAGGCUCCGCGUCCGCCGGCACCGUCUGCGAGCUCACACACCGGGGCGGCGAUCGACAUUCUGGCGGUGCUCGACCUGAGCGGCAGCAUGGCGGGCAAUAAGCUCGCGCUCUUGACGCGCGUUCUGAGCUUCGUGAUCAAGAGCCUUGGCCCGAACGACCGGCUCUCUGUCAUCGCCUUCCGACAUUCGGCUUGGAGCCUCUUCCCAUUUCGGAAGAUGACCGCGGCUGGGCGGCGGCAUUCGUUCCAGGCCCUCGCCGACGGACUCCCUGUUGCCGGCGGCGUCUCGAAUGUCGCCGAGGCUCUGCGGAAAGCAGCGUGGGUGACGGGGGACCGGCAGGUCAGGAACCCCGCAUGCAGCGUCCUCCUUCUCUCCGACGGCCUAGGCGGCCGUGAAGCCGCGACGUGGCAAUGCGGUCGGCCAAGCCUGGUCUACGACGCGCUCGUCCCGCGCUCCAUCUGCCCGGGGUCAGGGCACCACGUGCGGGUCCACGCCUUCGGCUUGGGUGCGUACCAGGACUCUGCGGUGAUGCGCGGCAUCGCUGAGAUGUCCGGCGGCACGUUCUCCUCCAUCGACACGGUGGGAGAGAUCCCGGACGUGGUUGGUCGGUACAUCGGUGGCCUGCGCAGCGUGGUGGCGCAGGAGACACGGCUGAGCUUCCACUGCGCGGAGCAAGGCGUGCUGCUCACCUGCGUCGCGUCCGGCGGCUACGCCAGCACUGUAGACGGUCACAAGGGUGGCGAGUUCGUCGACGUCGGCGACCUUUACGCCGGAGAGGAGAGGAACAUUCUGGUCACAGUACACGUCCCAACCACGCAUGGAAAAGACUCUGCUCUGCUCGUGCCGAGCUGCACCUACCGGGUCGCGGUCACCAUGGAGACUGUCUGCAUAGAAGGUGACACGGUGAUCGUCCAUCGCCCUCGGCAUCCGGUGAGCCCAUCUCCGUUGUCAGUCGAGGUCGAGCGUGAGCGGCACCGCAUCAGCGCCAUGGAGGGCAUGGCCAUGGCGUGGAACGCCGUGGAGCUAGGCGACUUCGUGCACGCAGCAAUGAUCUUGGAAGGGCGCCGUGUGGAGCUUGAGUCAUGGGCGUUGUUGUCGGUGGACGCGCCGACUCUGGCGCUGGUCGCCGAGCUGAGGGAGUUCCAGGACAGGUUGGGGACAAGGCAACGGUACAAGCGGUCCGGCCGCGCGUACAUACUGGCCGCCCUGAACGCUCACCCGUGGCAGUGCGUCACGGCAAGCGGCGGCGACUCGGGGUUGCUCCUGCCCGAAGCCGUCGAGGAGCUGACCCGCUCGACGCCGGUGGCGCCAUCCAGCAUCCUCACCUUGCCGGUCGGUCAGGACGACCAGGGUUCUCCCGGUGGCACCAUGACUCUGACUUGUUAA
rnacentral:rRNA from 1 species